AAGAACCUCCGAUCGACUUAAAAAAGGAUUAGAUGAACUUAAUGGCAAAUUUGUAAAUAGUAGGAGGAGGUCAAACUAGAAAUUCAUCUAUUGAGCACGGCCAUGAUUUGUAAACAUCUGUAAACAUCAUCAUUUCCCUACUGAAAGGAUGUUUCCCAUGACAUCAACACUUCCCAAAUGACCACUCCUAAGGGUGCAUUGUCAUCCAUGAUGUCAACACCUCACCAUCCACAAAUUAGAAGAGGUUAAUGUCUUGUUUGGCCAACAUGCAAUCAUGAUCUAGGCCACAUCUAUGUCCUAAGAGAAAUGAUGGUAUGAUUGAUCGAACUUAGCAUCUAAUCAAAUCCCUUCAAAUAGGAUGAUUCCACAUAGAUCGAGGUGACAUGAUAGGAUAGAGGGCUGCAAGCUCUUGAUUUGGGACUUAUGAAUAGGGACAAUGGUGCCAUACUAAAGAUCAAGCAAAGCAGUAUCAUGUAAUAUACACUACCAAAACACUUCUAGUAGAAGUCUCCCUUUCUUUUUACAAUAUUCCAAUAGUUAUUCCACCGAAUUCAACUUAAGUUGAUCUAGAUUUUUUCACUCCAAUUUUUAGUCAUCAAAAUUUUAGUGCUAGAGGGAAGGCCUUGAUAUAACAACCCACAAUUACAAUAUUUCAAGCAUUCAGAACCAGCUCACCCAAUCAAUAUGAGCUGCAAUACUAUAUCAAGAAAUUAUUUCCAUACAAAUUUUCAUCAUACCAGCCUUCCCAGGAAUUUCUAUGGAGGAAAUGAUGACAAUGAGGUUGGAAAUCCCAAACUAACUACCAUGAGAAAGACUAUAAAACGCCUCACAUGAGCUAUAUGAAGAGUAGAAGAAAAAUUAAACCGCCACCACUCGAAUGAUAAAGAUCGAGGCGAAAUCUCCCUCCAGGGUAAAAAUUACAUGACCACUUUUCGAUGAGGCCUGUAAUUUUCAGAAGGGGAAUCUUCUAAGAGUAUGACGUACAUGGUAAAAAAAAUACCUUCCCUCAAGGAGAAUGAAUCGCAAGGAGAACAUGAGCAUUUUUUUAUUGGAUAAGCUUAUAAAGUCCUCUCCCUCAAACGGGUGACCGCCCUAACCCGAAUCAAAACAUGUUCCACGAAAGUGAUAGAGAAAAAUCGCGAUCUAAAUCAUUUAAAAAAUGAAUAAGCGCCCUGGAGCCAAAUAAUAGAGGGAUGAUGGAAAAAUUCUUCACUGAUCGGCAUUUUUCCUUCACAGAACCACGGCUAGAAAAACUAAAGAGGCCCCAACUCAAUAGGUAUAAUAGGAAAGACAACCCCUUUAGUUACCUCGACACAUAUAU
rnacentral:lncRNA from 1 species